GGAGAGGUGGCUCAGUGGUUAAGAGCACUUGUUGUUCUUGCAGAAGACCCAGGUUCAAUUCCCAGCAUCUCCU
rnacentral:tRNA from 1 species